rnacentral:rRNA from 1 species
UACAGAGGUCUCAAGCGUUGUUCGGAUUCAUUGGGCGUAAAGGGUGCGUAGGUGGCGUCGUAAGUCAGGUGUGAAAUCUCGGGGCUUAACUCCGAAAUUGCAUUCGAUACUGCCGUGCUCGAGGACUGGAGAGGAGACUGGAAUUCAUGGUGUAGCAGUGAAAUGCGUAGAGAUCAUGAGGAAGACCAGUGGCGAAGGCGGGUCUCUGGACAGUUCCUGACACUGAGGCACGAAGGCCAGGGGAGCAAACGGG